AUUGAACGCUGGCGGGCAUGCUUACACAUGCAAGUCGAACGGCAGCACGGAGCUUGUCUGGUGGCGAGUGGCGAACGGGUGAGUAAUAUAUCGGAACGUACCCUGAGUGGGGGAUAACGUAGCGAAAGUUACGCUAAUACCGCAUACGAUCUACGGAUGAAGGUGGGGGAUCGCAAGACCUCAUGCUCGUGGAGCGGCCGAUAUCUGAUUAGCUAGUUGGUAGGGUAAAAGCCUACCAAGGCAUCGAUCAGUAGCUGGUCUGAGAGGACGACCAGCCACACUGGAACUGAGACACGGUCCAGACUCCUACGGGAGGCAGCAGUGGGGAAUUUUGGACAAUGGGCGAAAGCCUGAUCCAGCAAUGCCGCGUGAGUGAAAGAAGGCCUUCGGGGUUGUAAGUAUUUCAGGUAAGAACAGAGCGUUUCGCGUAUAGUGAGAAGGAUUGACGGUACCGGAAUAGA
rnacentral:rRNA from 1 species